rnacentral:rRNA from 1 species
AGUGAACGCUGGCGGUAGGCCUAACACAUGCAAGUCGAACGGCAGCACAGUAAGAGCUUGCUCUUACGGGUGGCGAGUGGCGGACGUGUGAGGAAUACAUCGGAAUCUACUUUUUCGUGGGGGAUAACGUAGGGAAACUUACGCUAAUACCUCAUACGACCUACGGGUGAAGCAGGGGAUCUUCGUACCUUGCGCGAUUGAAUGAGCCGAUGUCGGAUUAGCUAGUUGGCGGGGUAAAGGCCCACCAAGGCGACGAUCCGUAGCUGGUCUGAGAGGAUGAUCAGCGACACUGGAACUGAGAAACGGUCAAGACUCCUACGGGAGGCAGCAGUGGGGAAUAUUGGACAAUAGGCGCAAGCCUGAUCCAGCCGUACCGAGUGGGUGAAGAAGGCCUUCGGGUUGUAAAGACCUUUUGUUGGGAAAGAAAAGCAGCAGGUUAAUACCCCGCUGUUCUGACGGUACCCAAAGAAUAAGCACCGGCUAACUUCGUG